CCCAAGCUCGCCAAGGAGAUCCGGGCUCUGAGUCCGGAGCGUGCGGUGGAGCACGCCCGCCUGAUCGUUCCGGACACGCGGGU
rnacentral:tRNA from 1 species